rnacentral:rRNA from 1 species
UACGGAAGGGGCAAGCGUUGUUCGGAAUCAUUGGGCGUAAAGGGCGCGUAGGCGGUUUCGUAUGUCCGCUGUGAAAUCACACGGCUCAACCGUGUUGGGUCGGUGGAAACUGCGAGACUUGAGGCUGGAAGGGGCUGGUGGAAUUCCCCAUGUAGCGGUGAAAUGCGUAGAGAUGGGGGAGAACACUCGUGGCGAAGGCGGCCAGCUGGACCAGUUCUGACGCUGAGGCGCGAAAGCGUGGGGAGCAAACAGGAUUAGAUACCCGCGUAGUCC